GACGAACGCUGGCGGCGUGCUUAACACAUGCAAGUCGAACGGUAAGGCCCUUCGGGGUACACGAGUGGCGAACGGGUGAGUAACACGUGGGUGAUCUGCCCUGCACUUCGGGAUAAGCCUGGGAAACUGGGUCUAAUACCGGAUAGGACCACUGCCUGCAUGGGUGGUGGAAAGCUUUUGCGGUGUGGGACGGGCCCGCGGCCUAUCAGCUUGUUGGUGGGGUGAUGGCCUACCAAGGCGACGACGGGUAGCCGGCCUGAGAGGGUGACCGGCCACACUGGGACUGAGAUACGGCCCAGACUCCUACGGGAGGCGGCAGUGGGGAAUAUUGCACAAUGGGCGCAAGCCUGAUGCAGCGACGCCGCGUGAGGGAUGACGGCCUUCGGGUUGUAAACCUCUUUCAGCACCGACGAAGCGCAAGUGACGGUAGGUGCAGAAGAAGGACCGGCCAACUACGUGCCAGCCGCCGCGGUAA
rnacentral:rRNA from 1 species